UAUUCAGCAAUAGAUUAAAAAUAUCAUUCACCAUGAUCAAGUGGGAUUUAUUCCAGGGAUACAAGGAUAGUGCAAUAUUCACAAAGCAAUACAUAAUACACCAUGUUAUCAAAAUGAAGAAUAAAAAUCAUAGGAGCACCUCAAUAAAUGCAGAAAAAGUAUUUGACAAUAUUCAAUAUCCACUUAUAAUAAAAACUCUCAAUGAAGUGGGCUUAGAGUGUACAUGCCUUAACAUAACAUAGUCCAUGUAUGAAUAACCCAUAGCCAACAUCAUCCUCAAUGGGAAAAACUGAAAGCUUUUCCGCUAAGGUCAGGAACA